rnacentral:snRNA from 1 species
UUAUGAAUUAUGUGUAUGAUG